CACUGCAUUUCGUGAAUAGCAGUUGCAACAAGAGGUGAAAUCUGUAGAAUCCAAAAUACGAAUCUGCCAAAGGUUGGCCUGACAGAAUAGCUGCAGAGCUACCGAUAACUUCAGCAAGGAUUUAAUAGCAACAUGGCCGAGUGUCUCUAGAGAUGCAGCAGAAAUACAGUUAUCUAAAUAGCAAAUGCUUACGAAGAGACUUCUAAGUGCCGAGGACUGUGGAAGAAUGGUCUUUAGAUUCCAGGGACCCACAAAUGUGUUGAUAAGGUUUAAAGUGAUGACCAGGAUGUGGAGCUAAUCGUGGGAAGACAGGGGAAGUGUUUCCUGGAGGAAGGAAGUCAAAGCUCGGAGGCAGAAACGAGUGGGACAUGGUCAAGGGAGAUAAAGCAGGCCAUUAUACCUGAGACGCGGAGAGUGAGGGAGGCAGUGACGGCAAGUGGAGGGAUGAGAGGCAGGCGGCGAUCAGAUCUGCAGACAAGUUAGGAAAUUUCCUCUAGGAGCAAUACAAAGCCAUGGGAGGUUUAAGCAGUGGGGCGACAUGAUUAGAGUCACAAUUCAUUCUUACCUUUGGAUCUUUCGACGGGAGCAAGAAUGGAAGCCUGGAACCAGUGGGGGAACUAUUUC
rnacentral:lncRNA from 1 species